rnacentral:misc_RNA from 1 species
AUUAUCUCAAAGUAGAUUGGGACAAAUGGGUAGAUGAAGAUGAAGAUGACGGUACUUGACUGUCUAAAGAAUUUUUUUGUAAAUAGUAUUAUCAAAUUUAUAAUAUGCUUAUAAUUUUGGAUUUGCACCUGGUUUUGUUAGGUGGUUUAGGCAACAACUUUGACAUGGGAGGGAUGGAUUUCUCUGUAAGGAUUAGAUCAUAGUUUUUAUGUUUUCAAUGUUCCCUUUGGCUUAUGUGAUUUUAUUCUAAUUCGUUACUGUAUUUGCAGAACUUCGGUGAUAUGGGAGGAAUGGGUGAUGAUGGUGGUAUGGGUGAAUUUGAUGACAGUGAUGAUGAGGGUAAGAUUGCUUUAAGGUUUUUGUAGCUCAUGUUAGAUUAGUUUUAACGUUUAAUGAUUGGAAGACAUUAAUUUGGAUUGUUCAUAAACUUUAGUGGUAACAUAUGCAGCCCUAUUUUUGCUGGUCAAUUUGCUCUAAACUUGGAACUUUCUUCUUGAUGAUAAAGUAAUAGAUAGCAUGUUAUCUUCACUCAAAAUAAGUACCAUAUCAUUCAAUCUCAUUUAUAUUUUCAGCCGCGUAUUGUUAUCAUGAAUAUACAUUGGUAACCAUCGGUUGCCAUACCUUGUUUUCUGCUGUUCCUCUAUAUUUUCUGCACUCUGUAUUGACAACAUUAUUUAUCUUUAUUCUUGUUGUAGAUCAAGAAGUGGCAAAGCCUGAAAAGGCAGAAGGUGCUGCAAAGACAGGUGAAGAAGAAAAACUAGAAGAGAAAAAGGAUGCUGCACCAAGCAGUUGAAUAUGUUAAUUUAUUGAAAUGAUAGUUGUGCGCUAAAUUUUUCGGUAUACUAGUUAAAAGAGUGCUAUUUUCCUUAGCUGAGUGGAGUUGAGACAUUUCUGUCUUAUAGACAGUUGAAAAUGCUCUUUAACUUGGAUUAGAAUGUUGUACUUCUAGUCGUGCUUCAUGGAUGAUUAUUUGAGCUAAGAUUUGCCCUUCCAUAUUUGUUAGUGUUUUUCUUUUUACUAGUUGUGGGAUGGAAGUGGAACAAUUAAAAUUAGCAUUAAUAUUUAAAAAUUGCAAAAUUUUGACGCUAUUUUAGAGAAAUAUGCAAUCAAAUUGAGUAAUUAAAUAUAUGUAAAAUGAAAAUUAAAUUGUAUUGGGAGAGAGAGCGAAUCAAAUUGGCUUGAGUUGAUUUAGAAUCUAAACUUUUGCCUAAUCGGUAAAUAUGAGCUAGAAAAAAAAAAUAAUAAAAAAAAGAUAUUAAUAUCACAUUUCCUUUCAUGACUCUGUCGUAUGUAUAACAAGUCUACAAUGCAUUUAAAAUGAUUGCUACUGCUUCAGUAUAAAUCUACCCUAAUACCUGAUUUUCACAAAGUGAAACGGGCAUAAAAUGUAUUUCCCAA